rnacentral:rRNA from 1 species
UAGGGAAUCUUCCACAAUGGACGAAAGUCUGAUGGAGCAACGCCGCGUGAGUGAAGAAGGUUUUCGGAUCGUAAAACUCUGUUGGUAGAGAAGAACGUUGGUGAGAGUGGAAAGCUCAUCAAGUGACGGUAACUACCCAGAAAGGGACGGCUAACUACGUGCCAG